GUAGGUGGCAAGCGUUGUCCGGAAUUAUUGGGCGUAAAGCGCGCGCAGGCGGUUCUUUAAGUCUGAUGUGAAAGCCCACGGCUCAACCGUGGAGGGUCAUUGGAAACUGGAGAACUUGAGUACAGAAGAGGAAAGCGGAAUUCCACGUGUAGCGGUGAAAUGCGUAGAGAUGUGGAGGAACACCAGUGGCGAAGGCGGCUCUCUGGUCUGUAACUGACGCUGAGGCGCGAAAGCGUGGGGAGCAAACAGGGAUUAGAUACCCUGGUAGUCCACGCCGUAAACGAUGAGUGCUAAGUGUUAGGGGGGUUUCCGCCCCCUUAGUGCUGCAGCUAACGCAUUAAGCACUCCGCCUGGGGAUACGGCCGCAAGGCUG
rnacentral:rRNA from 1 species